GGGCGAUUGGCUCAGCGGUAGAGCACCUCGUUCACACCGAGGGGGUCACUGGUUCGAUCCCAGUAUCGCCCA
rnacentral:tRNA from 1 species